CCGCGGUAAUAGGCGUUACUCCUACGGGAGGCAGCAGUGGGGAAUAUUGCGCAAUGGGCGAAAGACUGACGCAGCGACGCCGCGUGAGGGACGAAGGCCUUCGGGUUGUAAACCUCUUUCAGCAGGGACGCUGUACCUGCAGAAGAAGCACCGGCUAACUAC
rnacentral:rRNA from 1 species